rnacentral:rRNA from 1 species
GACGAACGCUGGCGGCGUGCUUAACACAUGCAAGUCGAACGGAAAGGCCCUGCUUUUGUGGGGUGCUCGAGUGGCGAACGGGUGAGUAACACGUGAGUAACCUGCCCUUGACUUUGGGAUAACUUCAGGAAACUGGGGCUAAUACCGGAUAGGAGCUCCUGCUGCAUGGUGGGGGUUGGAAAGUUUCGGCGGUUGGGGAUGGACUCGCGGCUUAUCAGCUUGUUGGUGGGGUAGUGGCUUACCAAGGCUUUGACGGGUAGCCGGCCUGGGAGGGGGACCGGCAACAGUGGGACAGGAGUACGGCCCAGACGCCAUCGGGAGGAAGGGGUGGAAAAGUGUGCGCAAGGGGCGGAGGGCUAAAGGGGCAACGCCGGGUGGGGAAAAACGGCCUUCGGGUUGAAAACCGCUUUCCCGUGUAACGGGGCAUGAGGAGGGGUAAUGAUAAGAAAACCACCGGUAAACUACGU